rnacentral:rRNA from 1 species
GACGAACGCUGGCGGCGUGCUUAACACAUGCAAGUCGAGCGGAAAGGCCCUUCGGGGUACUCGAGCGGCGAACGGGUGAGUAACACGUGAGCAACCUGCCCUUGGCUUUGGGAUAACCCU